rnacentral:lncRNA from 10 species
ACUGAAGCCCGAGCCGAGCCGAGCCCGAGCCGCCGCCGCCGCCGCCGCUGCUGCGCACCGCUCCCGGGCUCCCUCCCAGCGCGCCGGCCGGGGUGUGGGGGGCGGCGGGCCGGAGGGGCGAGGGCGGGCCAGGGGGCGCACACGGGGGUUGGCGCGGAAGACAGGACCCUCAGCCUCGAGGGGCCUCUGCUCUUGUAAGAAGUUAGCUGCAGAACCCACAUGUGAAUCCUUGUAGGACUCUGGAGAAGAUCAAAUGGGAGCUUAGAUGUGGAAGCUCUUUGGAAACCAAGAAACACUCUGAAAAUGAAAAGGGUGGAAGAGUAAACUGUUCCUGUUUCUCCAUCUUGACAGGAAGCAGAAGUUCUCCUUAGCUGAUUUUUCUUCUUGCCUUAUACUGGGUUCUUUAACACCAGAACAAAAAUAAAUAAAUAAAAGAAUCUUCCAGAAAUUCAUGAAGAGACUUCAGGUCAGGAAAGCCUGAACUUUCUCAUCCAACACCCGUUCAAGUCGGAGGAUGCUGAUUAAUUCAUGAUGGAAAGGUAUCAAUUUCACAGCCCAGACCUCUACAUUCUUGAAAUGCUCUUCUCAUGGGAGACAUUAAAUAAGCUUUGAAUUAACUGAGACCUCUGUGGAUUCUAUAACUCAAAGACCCAGGCUGACGGCUGGUGGAAUAGCUACCAUCUCAAACAUGGCGUGAUGCUGCAUCAGAGAGAAAAAUAAGCUCUUGCAUUGACAAUGAAAUGUCUACCCUGUAGUGACUUGUGCUUACUUCCACUCACAAGUGAUUGCCCAGAGCUACUUACCUGGCUCCAAUCUACCACUGGGUGUGUACUUGCAAUCUACCAUGUACCUAGAAGAUGAGAGAAACAAAUUAUUAAUGAUGACCACACCCCAAUACUAACAACAAUUGCAGAAGAAUCAAUGACUUAAACAAAAAUGUGGCCAUUGAAGGAAUAGAAAAUAUAGUGAGUUUAGUGUAAAUUUAAAAGUGAUUUAUAAGUAACAUACAAAAUCCAGAAACUAUAAGAAAACAGAUUCACAAAUAUAAAUAUAUAAAGCUUUAAAAAAGUUUAAUGUAACAAAAAUGGCAUAAAAGGAGUCAAAAGUUUUUAAAAAAUAUGUUAAUGCAGUAGAUUAGGUGCUAAUUUUCUUAAUAUACUAAUAACUCAAUAAGAGAAAUUUUGUAUCUAGAAGAAAAUGAACAUGGAAAUAGGCAAUUCACAGAUAAUGGCAUUCAUCUGGCGAAUAAAAAAAUGUGUGACAUUCAGAAUAAAAUAAAAAUGAAAUACUGGUUUUCAGCCAUCACUUGAGCAAAACUGCAAAGAUACAAUGAGACUCAGGCAUUCCCAUAUACUGUGGAUGGGAGGGCAAAGACCUUCAACCUCUAAUUUUAUUUCUAUUUUUAAACAUGUAUGUUAAAAUUUUAAAUGCUAAUGUCCUCUUGACCCAAUAAUCUUAUGUCUAAGAUUUGAAUCUGGAGAUAAACUUGAACAAAUGCAUCUAGAUUUAUGUAUAAGUAUUAAUAUAGUUUAGAUGUGUGUUCCCACCCAAAUCUCAUAUUGAAAUGUAAUCCCCAGUGUUGGAGGUGGGUCCUGGUGUGAGGUGAUUGGAUUAUGGGGGUGAAUUUCUCAGGAAUGGUUUAACAUCAUCCCCUACGGCCCUGUCCUUGCAUAGUGAGGUGAGUUCUUCUGAGAUCUGGUCAUUUAAAGUGUGCAGCACCUCCCCGCCUCACUCUCUCUUGCUCCUGCUUUUGCUAUGUGAUGUGUGAGCUACUGCUGUGCCUUACACCAUGAUUUGAAGCUCCCUGAGGCCUCCCCAGAAGGAGAUGCUGCCAUGCUUCCUGUACAGCCUGCAGAAUUGUGAGGCAAUUAAACCUCGUUUCUUUAUAAAUU